CAGAAAAUAGUUUACAAAAAAUACUAGUUUUGGGAACUGGCGACGGGAAGUUUUCUCUUUUCUGA
rnacentral:tRNA from 1 species